GAUGAACGCUGGCGGCGUGCCUAAUACAUGCAAGUCGAGCGAACAGACGAGGAGCUUGCUCCUCUGACGUUAGCGGCGGACGGGUGAGUAACACGUGGAUAACCUACCUAUAAGACUGGGGUAACUUCGGGAAACCGGAGCUAAUACCGGAUAAUAUAUUGAACCGCAUGGUUCAAUAGUGAAAGACGGUUUUGCUGUCACUUAUAGAUGGAUCCGCGCCGCAUUAGCUAGUUGGUAAGGUAACGGCUUACCAAGGCAACGAUGCGUAGCCGACCUGAGAGGGUGAUCGGCCACACUGGAACUGAGACACGGUCCAGACUCCUACGGGAGGCAGCAGUAGGGAAUCUUCCGCAAUGGGCGAAAGCCUGACGGAGCAACGCCGCGUGAGUGAUGAGGGUCUUCGGAUCGUAAAACUCUGUUAUUAGGGAAGAACAAAUGUGUAAGUAACUAUGCACGUCUUGACGGUACCUAAUCAGAAAGCCACGGCUAACUACGUG
rnacentral:rRNA from 1 species